rnacentral:rRNA from 1 species
UACGAAGGGGCUAGCGUUGCUCGGAAUCACUGGCGUAAAGCGCACGUAGGCGGAUCUUUAAGUCAGGGUGAAAUCCUGGAGCUCAACUCCAGAACUGCCUUUGAUACUGGGAUCUCGAGUCCGGAAGAGGUGAGUGGAACUCCGAGUGUAGAGGUGAAAUUCGUAGAUAUUCGGAAGAACACCAGUGGCGAAGGCGGCUCACUGGUCCGUACUGACGCUGAGGUGCGAAAGCGUGGAGCAAACAGGAUUAGAAUCCGAU